rnacentral:rRNA from 1 species
AGAGCGGAACGCUGGACGGCAUGCUUAACACAUGCAAGUCGCACGGCUGGGGUAACUCAGCAGUGGCGGACGGGUGAGUAACGCGUAGGUACCUAUCUCUGGGUGGGGGACAACCGUGGGAAACUACGGCUAAUACCGCAUGAAGCCUGAGGGCCAAAGCAGCAAUGCGCCUGGAGAGGAGCCUGCGUACGAUUAGCUUGUUGGCGGGGUAAUGGCCCACCAAGGCGACGAUCGUUAGCUGGUCUGAGAGGACGAUCAGCCACACUGGGAUUGAGAACGGCCCAGACUCCUACGGGGGGCAGCAGUGAGGAAUUUUCGUCAAUGGGGGCAACCCUGAACGAGCAACGCCGCGUGCAGGAAGAAGGUUUUCGGAUCGUAAACUGCUUUUCUCGGGGAAGAGAACGGACGGUACCCGAGGAAUCGAGCCCCGGCUAACUACGUGCUAGCAGCCGC